rnacentral:rRNA from 1 species
UUGAAAGGGAAACGAUUGAAGUCAGUCGUACUUGCGGGUAAUCAGCCUUUUGGGUGUGAUUCUGUGGAGCGUGGGGAGUUAAACGCCUUCAUGCCUGCGUAUUCGUGCACUUUGGGUGUACUUGCCCGUGUGGUAGGUUAACAUCAAUUCUGAUCAUCAUAAAAUGGCUGGAGGAAUGUAGCUUCGAUCUCGUAUUGAAGUGUUAUAGCCUUCGGCAGAUGUGAUGAUCGGGAUUGAGGAUUGCAACGGAUACCCUUCGGGGCUACCUGUCUGAUCUCUGAUUGUUGCUCUGGUGCCGAAAGCGUGCUUACGGUUAUCAAAGUCGAUGGUCAACAGGUUAGAACGGGUUAAAUUCGUUAAGGAUGUUGACGUA